rnacentral:rRNA from 1 species
AUACGUAGGGUGCGAGCGUUGUCCGGAAUUACUGGGCGUAAAGAGCUCGUAGGUGGUUUGUCGCGUCGUCUGUGAAAUUCCGGGGCUUAACUCCGGGCGUGCAGGCGAUACGGGCAUAACUUGAGUACUGUAGGGGAGACUGGAAUUCCUGGUGUAGCGGUGAAAUGCGCAGAUAUCAGGAGGAACACCGGUGGCGAAGGCGGGUCGAUGGGGAGUAACGGACGCUGAGGAGCGAAAGCAGGGGUAGCGAACAGGAUUAGAUACCCUGGUAGUCCAUGCCGUAAACGGUGGGCGCUAGGUGUAGGGGUCUUCCACGACUUCUGUGCCGUAGCUAACGCAUUAAGCGCCCCGCCUGGGGAGUACGGCCGCAAGGCUAAAACUCAAAUGAAUUGACGGGG